CACACACACACACACACACACACGUACAUACACGCCUAUUAUGUCCGAGGACCAUGGUAAACUACCUUCUUUUGAGGACAGGUGUUAUCUAGCUCUAAUGGACAUAAUGGUGAAAAGACUCCCUAAAAAAGAGAAUGCUUUAAAGGACGCUCACAACAUUGAAUGCGUUUUUUUAAGUUUAAACAUUUAUCAUAGACCUAUACAUCAGAGGACAUGAUUCUUGUUUUGGUAUACGUCUGAGGUGGCUUUCUCUAAUGUUAAAAUGUCAUAUUUCAGCAUUCGACAGAGGUCAACCACGCACACUUAUCAAGAUUGCGUGAACUUACGAGGACAUUGUAUUGAAUAGGUAACACAGCUCAAGUUUGCAUAAAUGUACGAGGACAACAUGUGUUGCAAAUGAAACACAGUCUUUGUUUGUAUAAACUUAUGAGGACAUAUAAACUUUAUCUGUUUAUUUUGCACAGGUAUUUCACACAGAUCAAGAUUGCGUAAACUUAUGAGGACAUUGUAUUGAAUAGGUAACACAGCUCAAGUUUGCAUAAAUGUACGAGGACAACAUGUGUUGCAAAUGAAACACAGUCUUUGUUUGUAUAAACUUAUGAGGACAUAUAAACUUUAUCUGUUUAUUUUGCACAGGUAUUUCACACAGAUCAAGAUUGCGUAAACUUACGAGGACAUUGUAUAGAAUAGGUAACACAGCUCAAGUUUACAUAAAUGUACGAGGACAACAUGCGUUACAAAUGUAACACAGUCUUUGUUUGUAUAAACCUAUGAGGACAUAUCAACACAGAUAAAGUUUCUGUAAACUUAUGAGGACAUCACACAAAUCAAGUUUGCAGCAACACACGAGGACUUAUUGCACAGGUAUUUCACACAUACCAAGUUUGCGCAAUCUUAUGAGGACAUUGUAUUGAAUAGGUAACACAGCUCAAGUUUGCAUAAAUGUACGAGGACAACAUGUGUUGCAAAUGAAACACAGUCUUUGUUUGUAUAAACUUAUGAGGACAUAUAAACUUUAUCUGUUUAUUUUGCACAGGUAUUUAUCUCUUUUAGCGAUCAUGAGGAGUUUAUCUCAACAAGGUUCCACUUUACAUCAUUCAGAUACAAGCAAAUUUAAACACUUCAAGUACACAUGUAGAUCAUUUUCAAAGAUUUGUUUUUAAUAAAACUCAACACUGACAACAGGAACUUGACAUACAUGCAGUUAGUCAUUCAUAAUGCAUAAAUAACUUUUCUCUUACAUGUACAAAAUCUCAGAAAUCACCUCUUCAUUUUUCUUAAAUGAUAAUCUACACAAAGUCUGAUCAUUGUGAUCAUUUAUCGAUCAUUAAACACAGAAUUUUCAAAAUGAAUAUAAUCACUAAGAUUGUAAAAAAUCCUUAAAUUAGCAGCAUGUUUCUGCAUUUGUUAAUGUGAUAUUGAAAGAUUUGGUUGUGGUCGAUUGUGCAGACAUUCAGUAAUAAAAAGAAACGUCAAUUUUAAGCAUUUUCUGGAGGUAACCCCCCCC
rnacentral:lncRNA from 1 species